GAUGAACGCUAGCUACAGGCUUAACACAUGCAAGUCGAGGGGAAACGGGGAGACAGCUUGCUGUCUCUGCCGUCGACCGGCGCACGGGUGAGUAACGCGUAUCCAACCUGCCACCUAGUGGAGGAUAGCCUUUCGAAAGAAAGGAUAAUACUCCAUGUACUCCUUUAAGGACAUCUGCGAAGGAGGAAAGAUUAAUCGCUGGGUGAUGGGGAUGCGUCUGAUUAGGCAGUUGGCGGGGUAACGGCCCACCAAACCGACGAUCAGUAGGGGUUCUGAGAGGAAGGUCCCCCACAUUGGAACUGAGACACGGUCCAAACUCCUACGGGAGGCAGCAGUGAGGAAUAUUGGUCAAUGGACGGAAGUCUGAACCAGCCAAGUAGCGUGCAGGACGACGGCCCUAUGGGUUGUAAACUGCUUUUAUGCGGGGGUAAAGUGAGUGACGUGUCAUUCAUUGCAAGUACCGCAAGAAUAAGGACCGGCUAAUUCCGUG
rnacentral:rRNA from 1 species